ACCAUAAAUAAAAAGGGAUUUACCGAUUUUUUUACUAAUUAUGCUAGGUUCAAAGGUCAUGGGGUGUUUUUUUUUUUAGAGACCCAAACGUUGUGGCUGGAAUUCAUGCCAAGUUAUUGAUUUCAAUAAAUAAAUACAUUGUCUGCUAAUACGUGUGGUUUUUUUUUUUGGUGCUCAGUGCAUUUUUAUAUAUGUUUUGAUACUUAAUUACGACUCGAGCAGGAUACGCUAUUCUUGUACCCCUAGAACUCAAGAUUGCCCUACCAGGCACCGGUUUUGAAGCUUGAAAUACUGCAGAUUUGAGCUUGGUAAGGAAGCGACAAUGACAACAUUGAAGUACUUCCUUUCUCUUUGCCUGCUGUUACAAUUGGCGUCAUUAGUUGGCCUAUUAGUUUUACUAAUCAACACCAUCUCUUUUUCUACUGAGCAAGAAAAGGCUAAUGUAACAGACGUUCCCUCUUCCAGUUAUAAAACUAACAUCACUCCAUUCGGCAGAACUGUCAAGAUAGACUUUCUUUGUAACGCAGGUCAGUACAUAAAGCAAACUUUGACAGGACCUGUAUGUGUCCCAUGUCCACCUGGAACGUUUAACCCAGACAAUAACCACAUGUACAUCUCAUGUUUCCCUUGCACUGAACCUAAUAUUUACGAGAAGGAAGUCGAGCUGAAGGCCUGUACACUGACCAGUGACACGGAGAUUGGCUGCUUGAAAGGCUAUUUCAGAAAUGUGAUGGGACUCCACGAAGCUUCCUGCGACCGAUGCUCCAAAUGUAAAGGUCCAGACAAUGUUAUAGUAAUUGAAUGUGCAGGAUUGAAAAACACCGUGUGUAGGUCAUGAGACUUUUGGUUGGCCGUAUGCUUAUACAAUAUGAUUUGAUUAUGUAUUAUAUCAUUACUGAUGUAAAUGUACUAUAGUGAACAGACAAACAAAACAACAUGUAAAUAAAUGCUAAAAGUUAUCUAACAUGAACAUGUACAAAAUAUAACCCUAACCCUUGCUAUUGUUAUUAUAUAUAUAAUUGCAUUUUAUUGAUGUUUCAUUUUUUUCUUUCUGCGCCUGUCUUCGGCAAGGGUUUUUCUUUGGGUGUCAAUUGUGUCUCCAGAGAAAUGUUUUAGACCAUCGGCGGAUAAGAGUUUUAAUGUCGCAAAAUAAGUAAUGGUUUUCCUUGACUGCAUUCAUUUUUAAUCAUCUAAAUCUAAGACAAUGCCUUAUUAUUAUUAUUACAGCCGUCUUACACAACAAACAUGAAUGAGUAUUCGUAUUUGCGUAAAAAUGGUAAGAAAGAUGUAUAGUCCUGGAGAGACAUUUACAAAUAUUUCAUUAUUAUCAUCAUUGUGUCAUUUGAAACCAAAUGAAAAUCCGCUGCCGAGGACAGACGUAGACGGCGAAUGGAAAAUCUAAAUCGACCACCGGCAGACAAUGGUUGUGUCUGCGCUACAUAAGGUAAAAUAUGUAGGUCGCGGAUGGGGCUGCGUAGCCAUGGAAAAUACUGCAUUCCUCAUUAAUCUUCGAACUCUCAGACAAGCCUUAUUAUUAUUGUUAUUCUUAUUAUGAUCAUUACUUGUCUUAUAUAACCAAGAGUUUUUCUUAUUUCAUAAUAUGCUACAUAGAAGAUUGUUAAUUUUAUUUAUAGUAUACACCGUGAAGCAAGGAGUUAAUGAAGCCUAUAUGUUUUGUGUUUAUUAAAUAGAUACAUGUACAAUUAAUAAUGUUAAGAAAAUCGUUAAUACAUUAUAACGGUGUUUACAAAUAUCACUAUAUAUUUGACAUAGUGGUCAGCUUAUCUCAUCUUGGCAUCUUCUACAUCACUACUACUGGUCAGCUAGUCUCAAUACAGUAACUUGUAGAUUUCUCAUAGUAAAAAAAAGUACAGUUUCACCUUUCAGAUCUUGUGAUCUAUAGUGCUAAUGAUGUAAAAAUCAUCUGUUUCUGUGACCUACGGUUAACGAGAGUGUCUUGUGGCCAGCACAACGACCAACUGUCUUUUCUUUUUUCCCAACUAAUUUCAGGUACCCAUUAGAGCUGGGUAGACUCAAAUGAUGCCACAGUUACGGGUAUUGUUAAAAAUAUUCAGAGUGCAACAUAGUAGUUGGGGAAAGCAGUGUAUCUAAACCUUCUAUCUAGGUUUUAGCGGUAUUUGGUAGAAUAUGCCUUUAAAAUGUCAUUUCAUCUCAUAUGCUGAUGACGUCAAUCCCUGCUUGAGAAUCGCUGAAAACGUUCGUAUGUCAUCAAGGUUGAAGGCUCUUGAAGCUGACAAGUAUCCUAAAUAGAGUGUAGUUUGAUUGCAGCUGUUCAAAUCUCGGCUGCAAGGACUGAAUUGCAGUGUCCACAAUUCUAUUGAAGCAAUGUAUCCUGUAGUUCUUUUCAGCAUUUCCAGGUGUGAAGUUUUCCACAGAUUUAUCAUACUGCCUUUUCUUUGACGUUUGGUUAGGAAGAUUGAAACAACAUCCAUGUUUUCAGCCAAUUCCUUUGCUGUAACACGAAUCUGAACAAUUCCUUCAACUUUCAGUUUCCUUAGCCAAGUCAUCAAUUUGUACGAGUCCAUUGCAGUGCUCAGACCUACUGUUUCACCUUGCAGUUCUUUACUCACAAAAUUGACUUGGGAGAGCAAGUCAUUCCAUAACACAGGUGACACUAAGACUUUGUACUGCUUCAAUGUUUUAUUCAGUCUUUCUAAUUCACUUUUAAUUAUCGCAAUCCUUAGUCUCUUUAGCUAAUUCAACGAAUGUGUCACAUAUCUAUUUAUAUGCCAGUGACUAUUAAAAGUAAUUAAGUAUUGAAACUUCCGGGUUUGGUUAAAAAUCGCCCUAUUAUUACAAUUUUAUUAAAUGAAAGCUGACAAUGCUUUCUUUCGAACGAUGUGUAUUUUUUGUUUACAUAUAAUUUAUUAUUUAAUAUCGAGGUAUGAAACUUUGAUUUAUUUUUCUUUCAUUUUAAAAUUUAUAUAAUGUGUCCAUUUUCAAGACGCUUGGUUUUCUAUUAUUUUUUUACUUAUGCAUAAUUUAAAAUCAAAUAAAAUAAUAAGUAAUCAAA